UCCCAUGCCAUCCUCCCCUGCCACCCGCCGUGCUGCCUCAACUUCUCCAAACCAAAGCCUACUUCCUCCAGGUUGCCCUCCCGGAAUGCUGCCUCCACCCCUGGAGCUGACCUCCCCAGGACAGUGAGGAGCCACAUCUCCUGCUCUGGUGCUCCUAACAGCUGUGACGCCAGUUUGGUGAUAACAAGACGUCUGCCAGAAGGACCAUGGCUUUGGAAGGUGGAGUUCAGGCUGAGGAGAUGGGUGCUGUCCUCAGUGAGCUCCUGGUGUGUGGACGCUUCAUAUUGGUUAACUAAGAGCUAUCAGGGCCCUUUCUGCCCCAGACCCUGGGUUAAGACACAGAGAGACACGGGACCUGGCCCCUCUCCUCAAGCGAGUCCUGGUCUGUGAGAAGCACACAG
rnacentral:lncRNA from 1 species